CGCUCCCCUACAGACGUCCUGACAGCACAGCUCUCACUAUGGACUGGAGCUGGAGAGUCCUCUUCCUGGUGGCAGUGGCUACAGGUGUCCACUCUGAGGUCCAGCUGGUGCAGCCUGGGGCUGAGGUUAGGAAGCCUGGGGCCUCAGUGAAGGUGUCCUGCAAGGCUUCCGGAUACACCUUCACUGGCUACUGGGUGAACUGGGUGCGACAGGCCCCGGGACAAGGGCUCGAGUGGAUAGGGGCGAUCAACCCUCUCAGUGGUGCCACAAACUAUGCACAGAAGUUCCAGGGCAGAGUCACCAUGACCAGGGACACAUCCACCAGCACAGCCUACAUGGAGCUGAGCAGCCUGAGACCUGAGGACACGGCCGUGUAUUACUGUGCGAGACACUCAGUGUGAUGAGCCACAUCCUGAGAGUGUCAGAAACCCUGAGGGAGAGGACAGCUGUGAGGGGCUGAAGAGGGGCAGCUGGGCACAGCCUUUCUUUGACUUAGGGUUAUGGAUAUAGAGAGACGAAGGAACUGCUUUCAUUAAUUGUCUAUGAAAUAUUUUCAGUUUUGUGCU